rnacentral:rRNA from 1 species
AUUGAACGCUGGCGGCAGGCCUAACACAUGCAAGUCGAGCGGAGCGGCGGCGGGGAGAGUAAUGCCUACGGCUCUACCUGGUAGUGGGGGAUCACGUCCAGAAACAGGCGCUAAUCACGCAUAAUAUCCGAUGAGCAUAGGUCGGAUGAGCUGGGUGGUGGGGUAAAGGCCUAACAAGGAGACGAUCCGUAACGGGGCUUAGCGGAUGAUCAGUCACACUGGAACUGAGACACGGUGCAGACUCCUAAGGGAGUCAGCAGUGGGGAAUAUUGGACAAUGGGCGAAAGCCUGAGUCAGCCAGGCCGCGUGUGUGAAGAAGGUCUUCGGAGUGUAAAGCACUUUAAGUGGUGAGGCGGUACCAGCAGAAUAAGCACCGGCUAACUGCGUGCCAGCCGCCGCGGUAAUAC